rnacentral:rRNA from 1 species
GAUGAACGCUGGCGGCGUGCCUAACACAUGCAAGUCGAACGAACAGACGCGGAGUUUGCUCCUCUGUCGAUUGCCGCGGGCGGGUGAGUAACAUGGGUAUACCCCCCCUAUCUUACUGGGAUAACUUCGGGAAUGCGGCUCAUAUCCCAUAUGAUAUAGUGAACCGUGUGGUUCUAUAGAGAUAGACGGUUUUGCUGUCACUUCUCGAUGUAUCCGCGCCUGAUUGGCUAGUUGGUAAGGUAACGGUUUACCAAGGCGACGAUGCGUAGCCGAGCUGAGAGGGGGAUCGGCCACACUGGAACUGAGACACGGUCCAGAAUCCUAAGGGAGGCAGCAGUAGGGAAUGUUGCACAAUGGGCGAAAGCUUGACAAAGCAAGGACGCGUGAGUGAUGAAGGUCUUCGGAUGGUAAAACUCUGUUAGUAGGGAAGAACAAAUGUGUAAGGAAAAAUGGACGUCGUGACGGUACCUAAUCAAGAAGCAACGGCUAACUACGUG